rnacentral:pre_miRNA from 1 species
GCUUGGAUAAGGUAUUCUUAUUUUGUGAAUUUUACCAAAAUAAAUUACCUUAUCCUUGGA